rnacentral:lncRNA from 1 species
GGUCGUCACCCUGUUGCUCUCUCGGGAGGAACAUGGCGCCGCCUCUCCUCCUCCUUUCCCCCCAAUCUCAAUUGUUCUUUUAUCUUCAGUAUACUAAGGUUCCAAAGGGUUAUAAAGCUACAUAAAAAGAAAUCUCUCCUAAUCAGAACGGAGAAGUGAGUGCCGAGCAGUACUCUGGGGGAAAACACAAGUGAUGCUAAGCAUAGGUCUUCAUCAUCUAUUCUAUGCUUAUACUGACUGAUGGUUAUCAAUGAGCUCGUCCGUAAGGCGAAUUGUUGAGCUAUUAAGAGGAUCACGUUAUCUGGUCGAGUUGAUGGACUGGACCAGGCAACGCGGACCAUAUAUUGAUCAACGAGGCGCCCCACGUUCGCACCCGUUAUCAGCAACGGAAACAACUUGUUCAGAAUGUACAGAUUCAACAUCAGCCCUGAUAGUUCGCCUUCCCAUCCCUACCCGGUGGUGCCCGGGACACGUAUAAACGGGAUAUAAAUCAAGAAAGACUUGCUGACUUCAGAGUGGGACAUGAAAUAUAGAGAAGCAGGGCGCACGAGGUGUGUGUAUAUUUUGAGUGUCGGAGUGUCAGCGUGUACAACCAACUGAAAGUGAACAUUUCGCACAUCAUACUCAAGAGCGCGGCGUCCGGGUCCCUGUGAAAUGUGUCGCUCCCAGCUGGUCGACACCCCGGCGUGACGCUUCAACAUUGUGUACUCUUGACUGUACGAGAGCUGCGCCUUUACCCUCGUCCUCCUGUAACCGGGUCACACUACCUGUAUCCUUUCACAA